GUGGGGAAUAUUGGACAAUGGGCGAAAGCCUGAUCCAGCCAUGCCGCGUGUGUGAAGAAGGUCUUCGGAUUGUAAAGCACUUUAAGUUGGGAGGAAGGGCAUUAACCUAAUACGUUAGUGUUUUGACGUUACCGACAGAAUAAGCACCGGCUAACUCUGUGCCAGCAGCCGCGGUAAUACAGAGGGUGCAAGCGUUAAUCGGAAUUACUGGGCGUAAAGCGCGCGUAGGUGGUUCGUUAAGUUGGAUGUGAAAUCCCCGGGCUCAACCUGGGAAAUGCAUCCAAAACUGGCGAGCUAGAGUAGGGCAGAGGGUGGUGGAAUUUCCUGUGUAGCGGUGAAAUGCGUAGAUAUAGGAAGGAACACCAGUGGCGAAGGCGACCACCUGGGCUCAUACUGACACUGAGGUGCGAAAGCGUGGGGAGCAAACAGGAUUAGAUACCCUAGUAGUCC
rnacentral:rRNA from 1 species